CCAGCAGCCGCGGUAAUUCCAGCUCCAAUAGCGUAUAUUAAAGUUGUUGCAGUUAAAAGCUCGUAGUUGAAUUCGGGGUUAGUAGGCUGGUCAUGCCUCUGGUAUGUACUGGUCUCACUGAUUCCUCCUUCCUGAUGAGCCGUAAUGCCAUUAAUUUGGUGUUGCGGGGAAUUUGGACUGUUACUUUGAAAAAUUAGAGUGUUUAAAGCAAGCUAACGCUUGAAUACAUUAGCAUGGAAUAAUGGAAUAGGACGUUCGAUCCUAUUUUGUUGGUUUCUAGGAUUGACGUAAUGAUUAAUAGGGAUAGUUGGGGGCAUUAGUAUUCAAUUGUCAGAGGUGAAAUUCUUGGAUUUAUUGAAGACUAACUACUGCGAAAGCAUUUGCCAAGGAUGUUUUCAUUAAUCAAGAACGAAAGUUAGGGGGAUCGAAGACGAUCAGAUACCGUCGUAGUCUUAACCAUAAACUAUGCCGACUAGGGAUCGGAUGAUGUUAAUUUUUUAAUGACUCAUUCGGCGCCUUACG
rnacentral:rRNA from 1 species